rnacentral:rRNA from 1 species
UGCAAGUCGAACGAGAACCAUCUUUCGAGAUGGGGAAAGUGGCGGACGGGUGAGUAACACGUAGAUGACCUGCCUCGAAGCAGGGGAUACCCCCCCGAAAGGGGAGCUAAUACCCUAUAAGCUCACGAGCUUUAGAACCUUGUGAGAAAAGCUCCGACGCUUUGAGAGGGGUCUGCGGGCCAUCAGGUAGUUGGCGGGGUAACAGCCCACCAAGCCGUUGACGGCUAGGGGACCUGAGAGGGUGAUCCCCCACACGGGAACUGAGAAACGGUCCCGACUCCUACGGGAGGCAGCAGUAAGGGAUAUUGCACAAUGGGCGCAAGCCUGAUGCAGCAACGCCGCGUGCAUGAUGAAGGCCUUCGGGUCGUAAAAUGCUUUUCUGGCCGAAGAGGAAGGACAGUAAGCCAGGAAUAAGUGUCGGCUAACUACGUGCCAGCAGCCGCGGUAAAACGUAGGACGCAAGCGUUAUCCGGAGUUACUGGGCGUAAAGCGCGGGCAGGCGGUUCUGCCAGUCUGAUGUGAAAUCUCUCAGCUCAACUGAGAGCGGCCAUUGGAAACUACAGAACUGGAGUCUGACAGAGGUAGGCGGAAUUCCGGGUGGAGUGGUGAAAUGCGUAGAGAUCCGGAGGAACACCAGAGGCGAAGGCGGCCUACUGGGUCAGUACUGACGCUGAGCCGCGAAAGCCAGGGGAGCGAACGGGAUUAGAAACCCCGGUAGUCCUGGCCGUAAACGAUGUGUGCUGGGUGGUGGGGGGUUUCCCUUCACUGCCGAAGCUAACGCGAUAAGCACACCGCCUGGGGAGUACGGUCGCAAGGCUAAAACUCAAAGGAAUUGACGGGGGCCCGCACAAGCAGCGGAGCGUGUGGUUUAAUUCGAGGCAACGCGAAG